ACUACAAACCGGGCUAUCGCCCUCCCGACUUGUCGGGAGGGAGGAAAGUCUGGACAGCAUAGGGCAAUGUACCGGUGAACAGCCGGGUCUUUCCUGAUUCGUUGGGAGGGAACAGACAGUGCCACAGAAAAUUACAGCUUUCAUCCGCCUACUCCGCCAGCUGGCGGAGCAGGCGGACUAGUCCCGAUUAAUCGGGAGAGUGAUGGUGAAAACGUGGGGUAAGAGCCCACGGCUCUGGCAGGUGACUGCCGGGGCGGGUAAACCUUGCAUGCUGAAAUGCCAUGUAUACCAGCGUUGAAGGGCGGCUCGUCCGAAUUCCUGCAAAGGAUACGUUGGGUGGGUAGGCAGAAUGAUCCAGUCAGUAAUGGCUGGACAAGAUAAAUGAUAGCCUCCCGAACUUGUCUUGGCUAGCCAAGACAAGUUCGGGAUACAAAAUCCGGCUUACAGGUUUGUAGUUAUU
rnacentral:RNase_P_RNA from 2 species